GAGCUGGGUUUAGAACGUCGUGAGACAGUUCGGUCCCUAUCUGCCGUGGGCGCUGGAGAACUGAGGGGGGCUGCUCCUAGUACGAGAGGACCGGAGUGGACGCAUCACUGGUGUUCGGGUUGUCAUGCCAAUGGCACUGCCCGGUAGCUAAAUGCGGAAGAGAUAAGUGCUGAAAGCAUCUAAGCACGAAACUUGCCCCGAGAUGAGUUCUCCCUGACUCCUUGAGAGUCCUGAAGGAACGUUGAAGACGACGACGUUGAUAGGCCGGGUGUGUAAGCGCAGCGAUGCGUUGAGCUAACCGGUACUAAUGAACCGUGAGGCUUAACCUU
rnacentral:rRNA from 1 species